AUUUGUGCAUAAUUUCUAAUUUGAGUAGGCUACAAUCCAUAGGUCCUAGCUGACAACGUCUCGGAUAUAGGACAACUUCUUCUCAGGGACGUGGCAGAUAUGGAGCCUCUGAUGAUUCUCCUUCUGCUAGCAGGACUAGUAGGGAAGACAUCAGCGACAAACACAACAGCAACAACCACAAGUUUUUGGGUCAAUACAAUAAUGG